UACGUAGGGUGCAAGCGUUGUCCGGAAUUAUUGGGCGUAAAGAGCUUGUAGGCGGUUUGUCGCGUCUGCUGUGAAAUUUCGGGGCUCAACCCCGAACUUGCAGUGGGUACGGGCAGACUAGAGUGUGGUAGGGGAGACUGGAAUUCCUGGUGUAGCGGUGAAAUGCGUAGAUAUCCGGAGGAACACCGGUGGCGAAGGCGGCUUCCUGGACCGACACUGACGCUGAGG
rnacentral:rRNA from 1 species